UCAAUCUCGUGCGGUUAGAAACCGCCUGUCCCUCUAAGAAGAUGACUACGCCGGGAGCACGAAGGAUCCCGGCGCCUAGUUAGCAGGUUAGAGUCUCGUUCGUUAU
rnacentral:rRNA from 1 species